GUACUCGUGGUGUAAUUGGAUAACAUUACGGCCUCCGACGCCGUCGAUUUCUGGGUUCGAGCCCCAGCGGGUACACCA
rnacentral:tRNA from 1 species